rnacentral:rRNA from 1 species
UACGGAGGAUCCAAGCGUUGUCCGGAUUUAUUGGGUUUAAAGGGUGCGUAGGCGGUCCGUUAAGUCAGUGGUGAAAGUUUGCGGCUUAACCGUAAAAUUGCCAUUGAAACUGAUGGGCUUGAGUAUGGUUGAGGUGGGCGGAAUGUGUCAUGUAGCGGUGAAAUGCUUAGAUAUGACAUAGAACACCAAUUGCGAAGGCAGCUCACUGCGCAGUUAUUGACGCUGAGGCACGAAAGCGUGGGGAUCAAACAGG